CAGCCGCCGCGGGAAUACGGAGGGCGCGAGCGUUACCCGGAUUUACUGGGCGUAAAGGGCGUGUAGGCGGCCUGGGGCGUCCCAUGUGAAAGGCCACGGCUCAACCGUGGAGGAGCGUGGGAUACGCUCAGGCUAGAGGGUGGGAGAGGGUGGUGGAAUUCCCGGAGUAGCGGCGAAAUGCGCAGAUACCGGGAGGAACGCCGAUGGCGAAGGCAGCCACCUGGUCCACUUCUGACGCUGAGGCGCGAAAGCGUGGGGAGCAAACCGGAUUAGAUACCCCCGUAGUCCCUGUCUCUUAUAC
rnacentral:rRNA from 1 species